GGCUCUUGGGUUGUAAACCUCUUUUCUCAGGGAAUAAAAAAAUGAAGGUACCUGAGGAAUAAGCAUCGGCUAACUCCGUGCCAGCAGCCGCGGUAAUACGGAGGAUGCAAGCGUUAUCCGGAAUGAUUGGGCGUAAAGGGUCCGCAGGUGGCAUUGUAAGUCUGCUGUCAAAGAAUGAGGCUCAACCUCAUCAAGGCAGUGGAAACUACAAAGCUAGAGUAUGGUAGGGGCAGAGGGAAUUCCUGGUGUAGCGGUGAAAUGCGUAGAGAUCAGGAAGAACAUCGGUGGCGAAGGCGCUCUGCUGGACCAUAACUGACACUCAGGGACGAAAGCUAGGGGAGCGAAUGGGAUUAGAUACCCCAGUAGUCCUAGCCGUAAACGAUGGAUACUAGGUGUUGUCUGUAUCGACCCGGACAGUGCCGUAGCUAACGCGUUAAGUAUCCCGCCUGGGGAGUACGCACGCAAGUGUGAAACUCAAAGGAAUUGACGGGGGCCCGCACAAGCGGUGGAGUAUGUGGUUUAAUUCGAUGCAACGCGAAGAACCUUACCAGGACUUGACAUGUCGCGAAUCUUUUGGAAACACAAGAGUGCCUUCGGGAGCGCGAACACAGGUGGUGCAUGGCUGUCGUCAGCUCGUGUCGUGAGAUGUUGGGUUAAGUCCCGCAACGAGCGCAACCCUCGUGUUUAGUUGCCAGCAUUAAGUUGGGCACUCUAGAGAGACUGCCGGUGACAAACCGGAGGAAGGUGGGGAUGACGUCAAGUCAGCAUGCCCCUUACGUCUUGGGCUACACACGUACUACAAUGCUACGGACAGAGGGCAGCUAAACAGCGAUGUCAAGCAAAUCCCGUAAACCGUAGCUCAGUUCAGAUCGCAGGCUGCAACUCGCCUGCGUGAAGGAGGAAUCGCUAGUAAUUGCAGGUCAGCAUACUGCAGUGAAUUCGUUCCCGGGCCUUGUACACACCGCCCGUCACACCAUGGAAGCUGGCAACGCCCGAAGUCAUUACU
rnacentral:rRNA from 1 species